rnacentral:misc_RNA from 1 species
AUUUUAAAUAAUUAAGAUAUAUAAAAAGUUCUUGAAUUCUUACUUUGUUAAAAUGUGAGUACAGUAAGUCUGACGUCUUGUUUUACAUCCACAAUAUAGCACGAAAAAACGGAAAUUUUUGAGUCCGGUGCAUUUCUUCGUCAUCUCUGGGCGGACUAUCGGUUGUCAUGGGAACCUUCCAAAUACGGUGGAAUCAUAACGGUGCAUAUUCCGGCAGCCUCGGUGUGGAAACCUGACAUAGUCCUCAUCAACAGAUACUGUGACAGAGAAGCAGGACCCCCUUGUGAUUGUGUUCCACACGGGCACUGUGUUCUACAGUCCCAAGAUGAGGCUCCGCGCUCCUUGCUCCCUCGAUCUGACCAAGUUUCCUUUCGAUGAACAGAUCUGUAAAUUAACAUUCGGGUCAUGGACUUAUGACAACUCCAACAUCAACCUGACGCACUUCGCAUUCGGAGAGAACGGCCUGGAUAUUGCGGACCUGAGAGUAAACAGGGAGUGGAGUGUGACAGAGAGCCUGGCCACGAGGGCGGACAAAGAGUUCCAGUACGCCACUAACAAGUACCCGCUGAUUGAGUUCUCCUUCCGGUUACAGAGGAAUCCUACGUAUUACCGUCACGUGUUCAUCCUGCCGGCAGUCCUACUGGCGAUCCUAGUCCCGUUCCAGUUCCUACUGCCUCCUGACUCCAAGGACAGAAUGAUCCUAGGAGGAGUGCUGAUGCUGGGCAUUAUCCUUCUGUUAAUAAUGCUGCAGGAUUUCCUACCCGAGGCCCACCCUACGAUCCCGACCCUAGCGAGUUAUUACAGUGUGACCUUAAUAUGGAUAGCCUUGUCGAUGAUAGCCUCGAUUUGGGUCAUUAACACACAGUCACGUGGUCCAAGAGGUAGAAGGGUGCCCGAAUUGAUGCGUCAGUGCAUUUUGCGGGGACUUCGUCGACUCGUGUGUCUCGGUGAUGACGCGUACUUCCCCCUCAAUGAAAUAGACACUCUUUCCAUGAAAUCUCUGGACAUUCCCGCUGUGGAACCAAUCGUCAAAUCGGACAUUUCCGGCAACCAAAGUAAACUAGAGAAGGACGUGGAAGAAAUAUUACGUCAUGUGCAGACGAUGAUCAUUUGUACAAAAACUGCGCAGGCGCGAAAGGAAGUGCAAAACGAGUGGAAAGAGGUGGCAGUUGUCCUUGACAGAGUGUUGUGUUUUCUUUUUGGGGCCACAUUCCUUUUAUACACGUUUGUUUUACUUGUUUGACUGUUCAAAUGGAGAUGUUAAAAUACUGAAUAGUUCAAUGCUCCAUAUUCUUAUACACCAUGUGAUUUACUCGGUGGGUACUGAAGAUUAUUUAUCUAUUAAAGACAAUCAAGACUGCCAAAUAAAGAUAUACAAGAAUGAU